GCCCCGGUAGCUCAGUGGCAGAGCGGCAGCCUUGUAAGCUGUUGAUCGCGGGUUCGAAUCCCGCCCGGGGCU
rnacentral:tRNA from 1 species